GAUGAACGCUGGCGGCGUGCUUAACACAUGCAAGUCGAGCGGAGCAAUUUUAAGGAAGUUUUCGGAUGGAAUUAAAAUUGACUUAGCGGCGGACGGGUGAGUAACGCGUGGGUAACCUGCCUCAUACAGGGGGAUAACAGUUAGAAAUGACUGCUAAUACCGCAUAAGCGCACAGUGCCACAUGGCACAGUGUGAAAACUCCGGUGGUAUGGGAUGGACCCGCGUCUGAUUAGGUAGUUGGUGAGGUAAUGGCUCACUAAGCCGACGAUCAGUAGCCGACCUGAGAGGGUGACCGGCCACAUUGGGACUGAGACACGGCCCAAACUCCUACGGGAGGCAGCAGUGGGGAAUAUUGGACAAUGGGGGAAACCCUGAUCCAGCGACGCCGCGUGAGUGAAGAAGUGUUUCGGCAUGUAAAGCUCUAUCAGCAGGGAAGAAAAUGACGGUACCUGACUAAGAAGCCCCGGCUAACUACGUGCCAGCAGCCGCAGUAA
rnacentral:rRNA from 1 species